rnacentral:tRNA from 1 species
GCCCUCGUAGCUCAGUUGGAUAGAGCAGCCGCCUCCUAAGCGGCAGGUCGCAGGUUCAAUUCCUGUCGUGGGCGCCA